UUGAACGCUGGCGGCAGGCCUAACACAUGCAAGUCGAGCGGAUGAAGGGAGCUUGCUCCUGGAUUCAGCGGCGGACGGGUGAGUAAUGCCUAGGAAUCUGCCUGGUAGUGGGGGACAACGUCCGGAAACGGGCGCUAAUACCGCAUACGUCCUGAGGGAGAAAGUGGGGGAUCUUCGGACCUCACGCUAUCAGAUGAGCCUAGGUCGGAUUAGCUAGUUGGUGGGGUAAAGGCCUACCAAGGCGACGAUCCGUAACUGGUCUGAGAGGAUGAUCAGUCACACUGGAACUGAGACACGGUCCAGACUCCUACGGGAGGCAGCAGUGGGGAAUAUUGGACAAUGGGCGAAAGCCUGAUCCAGCCAUGCCGCGUGUGUGAAGAAGGUCUUCGGAUUGUAAAGCACUUUAAGUUGGGAGGAAGGGCAGUAAGUUAAUACCUUGCUGUUUUGACGUUACCAACAGAAUAAGCACCGGCUAACUUCGUG
rnacentral:rRNA from 1 species